UUGAGUUGACAUUAUUCUUCCAUCUGAGCUUAAAAGUACGCAUCACUGGCCAAAUCAGUCAUUAGUGUAGAAUGCGUAGGCUUCCAACCUAAACGUUGCUGCGUAAGAAUACUUGAAGUUGGAUUAUCAACAGACAAAAAGCUGGAAAGAAAUCCAAAAUGUUCGGUGGCUUCUUCAGAAGAUACGGAGAUGACAGGUAUAUCAAGUCGUUUGCCAAUCAUGCCUGCGAUUUCUUUGAUCGGAAUACCUUCUUCGGCAACAGCAUGAUAAAUGGAACCAGCAGUUUCU